UAUGGAGCCGAUAGGACUGGUGUUCACCUCUUCCCAUCUCGAACAGAGCAGUUAAGCCCAGUACCGUUGAUGAUACUGCAAUCAAAUGCGGGAAAGUAAAAAAGCUCCAAAA
rnacentral:rRNA from 6 species